rnacentral:rRNA from 1 species
UACGGGGGGGGCAAGCGUUGUUCGGAAUUACUGGGCGUAAAGGGCUUGUAGGUGGCCAACUAAGUCAGACGUGAAAUCCCUCAGCUUAACUGGGGAACUGCGUCUGAUACUGGAUGGCUUGAGUUUGGGAGAGGGACGCGGAAUUCCAGGUGUAGCGGUGAAAUGCGUAGAUAUCAGGAGGAACACCGAUGGCGAAGGCAGUGUUCUGGGCCAGUACUGACGCUGAGGAGCGAAAGCGUGGGGAGCAAACAGG